AGUAUAGGGGCUGACGCCUGCCCGGUGCUGGAAGGUUAAGAGGAGUGCUUAGCGCAAGCGAAGGUACGAAUUGAAGCCCCAGUAAACGGCGGCCGUAACUAUAACGGUCCUAAGGUAGCGAAAUUCCUUGUCGGGUAAGUUCCGACCCGCACGAAAGGCGUAACGAUUUGGGCACUGUCUCAACGAGAGACUCGGUGAAAUUUUAGUACCUGUGAAGAUGCAGGUUACCCGCGACAGGACGGAAAGAC
rnacentral:rRNA from 1 species